rnacentral:rRNA from 1 species
CAGCCGCCACGGGAAUACGAAGGGGGCUAGCGUUGCUCGGAAUUACUGGGCGUAAAGGGCGCGUAGGCGGACAGUUCAGUCGGGGGUGAAAGCCCGGGGCUCAACCUCGGAAUUGCCUUCGAUACUGGCUGUCUUGAGUAUGAGAGAGGUGUGUGGAACUCCGAGUGUAGAGGUGAAAUUCGUAGAUAUUCGGAAGAACACCAGUGGCGAAGGCGACACACUGGCUCAUUACUGACGCUGAGGCGCGAAAGCGUGGGGAGCAAACAGGAUUAGAUACCCCGGUAGUCCCUGUCUCUUAUAC